UACGGAGGGAGCUAGCGUUGUUCGGAAUUACUGGGCGUAAAGCGCGCGUAGGCGGCUUUGUAAGUUAGAGGUGAAAGCCCGGAGCUCAACUCCGGAACUGCCUUUAAGACUGCAUCGCUUGAAUCCAGGAGAGGUGAGUGGAAUUCCGAGUGUAGAGGUGAAAUUCGUAGAUAUUCGGAAGAACACCAGUGGCGAAGGCGGCUCACUGGACUGGGUAUUGACGCUGAGGUGGCGAAAGCGUGGGGAGCAAACAGG
rnacentral:rRNA from 1 species